AUGAUGAAGUCAGAAGCUCUACUGCAGAGAGUGAAGAAAAUAGAGGGAAAAGAUGUGAAGUCACUGAUAUUCAGUGACUCUCAGAGAGGUCUACUCUCAGGUCUGGUCUGCACUGGACUCUACGUUCUCUACUCGGGUCUAUUAACUGCCGAAGACCUCUGGCUAUUAUUUAGCCCUCUGCUUGGGCAGUCUACAAUGGACACCCAGCUGCGGCUCCAUCAGACUCCCCUUCUCUUGAGAAGAGCCCCCUCCAGUUCUUCUUGGAAGUUUGUUCAAGGUCAAGAACAGCCCCAGGAUCAUUGGAAAUAUUGAUUCGUGUCUGCCCAGACACCUUGGCUCGCCAAAUCUCCAUGGUAACCACCUAGGAAAGAGGGAAUCGAGGUUAUGUCCGGCUUUAGAAGAAUUUCAGAGCACCCAGAAAAAUGACUUGGGAUUUAACAGAUAGAUUUUAGCAUUCUUCUUCUUCCAGUUAACAAGUAAUUAUCCUCCUUGGUUUCCUCCUUUUAUUGGGGCUCCCUCCCCACUCCCCAUCAUAUAACAAAUAUAGAUAAGCAAGCACUGUGAAUUUCCUCACUAGUCAUGUCCAAAAAUGUAUUUCUCAUUCUGCCUUGUUGGUCUCUGCCUCACCUCUCUGUUAGGACGUGGGUGGCAUGCUUCGUUUUCAUUCUCCUUUGGUGGUUAUCCAAGUCUAAAUGAGAACUCUGAUUAGACACCACUAGGUAGCUCAAUAGAGACGGUCUAGGGCAUGCAGUCAGGAAGACAUGAGUUCAAAUCCUGCCUCAGAAACUUGUCAUGCAAUGGAUGCUGGGCAAGUCAUUUGGCCUCUGUUGAUCAGGAUAGCACCCAUCUCCCAGGGAUUUUGCAAGGUCUGAAUGAGAAACUAUUGUGUGAAGCAUUUCUCAAACCUUAGAGCACCGGCUAAGUGCUAGCUAGUAUUAUUCGAAUACAUGCCUUUCAAGGCAGUUUUUCUCUAGAACAUUGCUGGCUCUGUAUACAUUGCUCCAGGACUGUCCACGCCGUCCUCUCCGGUAGUCCAGCUGUCUUCCAUUCCAUUGGGAUGGCACCAUCCCUUCAGCGGUGCCCCAGCAGAAGAGCACUCCCUCGGUUUCCAGUCCGGAGGAACUAUGCGCAGAGCCACUGGCACAUAGUGGGGCUUAGUGGGCCCUUCCCCUUCCUUUGAUCUCUGUGGUCAGGGCGAGGCUACAUUGAGAGCCCCCAGACCCAAUGGGAAGCUCUGCAGACAGAGCAAGAAGCCCUUUUACUGAGGAGGACAAAAGGGGUCCGUGGGAAAUCUGACAGCCAGCUCUGCUCUCUGAAAUACGUUUAGCUGAUGAGGCACAAUUGCUGUGAGUGCGGGCAGGGGGCAGAGAACUGGCCUGGGAGGCCGGGAGCCCCGUCCCUGACUGUGGGACCCAGGGCGGGCUCUCUAGGGCUGCUCCAUCCCAGAGAGAUUGCUGGCCUCCGCUUGUAGGGGCAACUUUUUCUCCCCGGGAGUUUCCUUCCGGCGAAAUAGAGCUGCUGUCCCUUCCUUAUGUGGACGAUGAAGCAAGAGCAGGCUGUAGGCGCGGAAGGCGUACAUGCAAGGCUGGGCGGGAGGUGGCCCAGGGCUGGAGCGCCAGGCCUGGAAAUGGGCAGACACGGGGCCCUUCCUAACUCUGUGACGCAGGAACGAGAUCAGAAACAGAGAGCCGCGAGCAGGAAGCUGAAGGCGUCUCUGGGACCGCAGGCAAGACAGAGCUCUGUGGCGAGAUGAGACCUUGGAAGGAGGGAAGCGGACAAAGUUCUGGCAUUGGUCACGGUCUCUCUGACUUCUGGCGAAGGCACGUGCAGCUCAGACCUCGCGCUCUGGGGCAGCAGGGAAGAGAGAACUCGCUUCUUUCCAGACUACGAGAAUGCGAGAAAAAGCCUUCAAAUCUGCUGUGUUGAGGGGCAGCUGGGUGGCUCAGUGGAUGGAGAACCAGCCCUAGAGACGGGAGGUCCUGGGUUCCAAUCUGGCCUCAGCCACUCCCCAGCAGGGUGACCCUGGGCCAGUCCCUUGACCCCCCUGGCCUAGUGACCGCUCUCCUGCCUUGGAGUCAAUACAGAAGGUGAGGGUUUAAAAAAAUCUGCUGUGUUGAACUGUUUGGGAGGAGAAGGACCGAAGGACUGUUUGCCUGAGCUCUGAGAGACGUUUCAGAGAUGCGCUCUGGUCGGAUAGGCUGGGAGACAUUGGGCUAAGCGGCUCUAGGGACUCGGAGACCUUCUUGACCAGUGAAGUUACUUUUGAUAAGGGUUCUAGAUUGGUUUAGUCAGGUCGCCUUUGGGGUUUUGGGUGAAUCUUAAGCAGUUCGGAGUAGCUUGAAGAGGCAGAAGACGUGCCGGGAGGCAAAUGUAGAAGAGCAGUGGAGAAAUGAGUCCCUUAGUUUGGGGCACCCUCACUUUAUGUGUUGUGAUAUGUCGUAAAUAAACAGGGUUUCUGCACACCGUCCGUCUUCA
ensembl:lncRNA